GACGAACGCUGGCGGCGUGCUUAACACAUGCAAGUCGAACGGAAAGGCCCUGCUUUUGUGGGGUGCUCGAGUGGCGAACGGGUGAGUAACACGUGAGUAACCUGCCCUUGACUUUGGGAUAACUUCAGGAAACUGGGGCUAAUACCGGAUAGGAGCUCCUGCUGCAUGGUGGGGGUUGGAAAGUUUCGGCGGUUGGGGAUGGACUCGCGGCCUAUCAGCUUGAUGGUGAGGUAAUGGCUCACCAUGGCUUCGACGGGUAGCCGGCCUGAGAGGGUGACCGGUCACACUGGGACUGAGACACGGCCCAGACUCCUACGGGAGGCAGCAGUGGGGAAUAUUGGACAAUGGGCGGAAGCCUGAUCCAGCAACGCCGCGUGAGGGAUGACGGCCUUCGGGUUGUAAACCUCUUUCGGUAGGGACGAAGCGCAAGUGACGGUACCUACUAAAGAAGCACCGGCCAACUACGUG
rnacentral:rRNA from 1 species